CAAAACCACUAUGCUACAUGCUUUUGUUGAGCGUGAAUGAUCAGUUUUGUGUUUUGUUGUUUCAUUUGCAUAAGAAAAAUAUAUGCUUUUAUAUAUAAUAGUAUAUGUUAUAUUUUUGGUUAAAGAUAAUUUAUUUUUGUCUUUUCUCAACAAGAUAAUUAAACACCUAAACGAAUAUACAUUGUAUGAACAAUAGGUGACAGCUGUAUUAGAGCAAAAUCUAAACUAUACUAAAAGUAGAAUACUAAGCCCUCUUAGCCUAUCCACGUAUGCAAAUUAAUUCCAGCCAAUCAAAUUGUUUUAGGAUACUAUAUCAGUUUUGACACACAGGAACCUAAAGUCUUCCUCUUUCGUGGCCUUUUCAAUUACUUCAUCCAGCUUAGCCGUUCAGAGUUUCUGUUAAAACAAAUGCAUACCUUCUCGACUUCCCUCUAUCAUUCAUAUAAAGAGGGAUGCAGAGUGAAAGCAAUCCAUUCACAUUCUUUGUCAAAAGCAGGCUUCAUUCUUUUGUGUCUUUUUUCCUCAGAUCCGUCUCAAGAUUUUCCCUGAAGAGUGUGUAGAAGCAGCCAUGGACGGUGGAGCCGAAUGAUCUCAGCAGCCUCACCUUAUCCUAGCUCACAAGAUAUUCCCAUAUGUCAAACAAACUCCUCUGUUUCUAUGUACAUACUCAUAAUAAAAUGGGUAUGAAUUAUGAUAAAAUAAUAUAUGCAUCAUAUCGGUUUUAUAGCACAGCGACAGCAUUAUCAAAACCACUAUGCUACAUGCUUUUGUUGAGCGUGAAUGAUCAGUUUUGUGUUUUGUUGUUUCAUUUGCAUAAGAAAAAUAUAUGC
rnacentral:lncRNA from 1 species